UACAGAGGUCUCAAGCGUUGUUCGGAUUCAUUGGGCGUAAAGGGUGCGUAGGCGGCGCGGUAAGUCGGGGUGUGAAAUCUCGGAGCUUAACUCCGAAACUGCAUUCGAUACUGCCGUGCUUGAGGACUGGAGAGGAGACUGGAAUUUACGGUGUAGCGGUGAAAUGCGUAGAUAUCGUAAGGAAGACCAGUGGCGAAGGCGGGUCUCUGGACAGUUCCUGACGCUGAGGCACGAAGGUCAGGGGGAGCAAAACGGGG
rnacentral:rRNA from 1 species